rnacentral:rRNA from 1 species
AGUAACGCGUGGAUAACCUGCCUCACACAGGGGGAUAACAGUUAGAAAUGACUGCUAAUACCGCAUAAGCGCACAGUUUCGCAUGGGACAGUGUGAAAAACUGAGGUGGUGUGAGAUGGAUCCGCGUCUGAUUAGGCAGUUGGCGGGGUAACGGCCCACCAAACCGACGAUCAGUAGCCGGCCUGAGAGGGUGGACGGCCACAUUGGGACUGAGACACGGCCCAAACUCCUACGGAAGGCAGCAG